rnacentral:rRNA from 1 species
UACAGAGAGUGCAAGCGUUAAUCGGAAUUACUGGGCGUAAAGCGCGCGUAGGCGGAUAUUUAAGUCGGAUGUGAAAUCCCUGAGCUUAACUCGGGAAUGGCAUUCGAUACUGGAUGUCUGGAGUAUGGUAGAGGGAAGUGGAAUUUCUGGUGUAGCGGUGAAAUGCGUAGAUAUCAGAAAGAACACCAGUGGCGAAGGCGACUUCCUGGACCAAUACUGACGCUGAGGCGCGAAAGCGUGGGGAGCAAACAGGAUUAGAAACCCGGGUAGU